UCCUCCCUGAGCCCCAGCCAAGGAUGCACACAGUUUAUUCCUUCCAGCCCGGCCCCCCUGUCCACAUCAUGUGCUUCUGCAUCGCAGCCAUUGCAACCUAUGCCACAGGGACAGCAGCAGUCCCCAGCGCCUGACCUCAGAGAAGGGUCAGCAGCACUGGAGCUCGGGACUCAGUGAAGACCAUGAGAACUCCAUACUGCAGAGGGAGAAGAGCAGGAGAGUUGAAAUGAAAACAGCACUGCCAUCUAAAAGGUGCAUUCCACCUUGUGCUGUAUGGGAAUGGAACAGUCCCCCCUGGCGCCAUGGGGCGAGGUGACCCUGAGAGGAAGGGGCCCCGGAGACCUGGAUUCUAGUCUCAGCUGCUCACAAACCGAGGGGCUACGGGUGGAGGACGUCUGCAAGCAAAUGGAGCCAACAAAAAGGAAAGUAGAAGCAAGAGAAGAGGCCAUCUCUGCAAGUCUGAAAGCCAUGCCUGGAGACAGACACUCCCCCCAGAAUUCCUGGUUCCCACAUUUGCUUACACUAGUUUGGGUUGAGUUUCUGUGCCUUGCAGCUAAAAGCGUCUGGACUAAAAGGGUCCAUGUGGAGGGUUGUGAGUAAUGACUUCCUUUCUUCCCUCCCCUUCCCACAUGACAUCCCCUGAUAUAUUGCAAAUGUCUAGAUAUUAUGUGAGGCUUGUGGGAGAGAGAAUAACCUAGGCAGAGAUGUAGGUGUUGUAGGCCCUUUAUUUAAAAAAAUAAUGAGUAGCCAGUAUUGUUAUCACAUUGGAAUUAAACUAAAGUUAUAGAUGGAGUCACAAAAAGUGUCCAUAGAUGAACCAGAUCCUUCCUCGUCUAAAGGUCAGGGGUGUAGAAGGGGUGGGGAAGUAAACCACCAGUUAAUGAACAUAUCCUGUGUAAGCAUUCUGCAUGGCUUUCUAUUUAACCCUCACAGUGUCCAUAGAAGGUGAAUGCUAUUAUCCUUAAUUUGCAAAUAAAGAGGUUAGGUAACUCAUCCACAGUCGCACAGGUCUUUAUUGAUAUUUCUAGAGGUUAAUACGGUGGAAUGUACAGCGAAUCAAGCCAUUCCCGUAGAGAGGCCUCCCCUGGCCCUCUGGACUUGGACAGCUGCCCACCUGUG